rnacentral:rRNA from 1 species
UUAACGGAGAGUUUGAUUCUGGCUCAGAACGAACGCUGGCGGCGUGGAUAAGACAUGCAAGUCGAGCGGGACAUUUCGGGUAGCAAUAUUCGGAGUGUUCAGCGGCGCAAGGGUGCGUAACACGUGGGCAAUCUUCCCUGAAGCUUGGGAUAACUCCGAGAAAUCGGAGCUAAUACCAAAUGUGAUUGUUGGAAGGCAUCUUCUGAUUAUUAAAGUUGGGGACCGUAAGGCCUGACACUUUAGGAUUAGCCCGCGGCCUAUCAGCUAGUUGGUGAGGUAACGGCUCACCAAGGCUAAGACGGGUAGCUGGUCUGAGAGGACGACCAGCCACACUGGAACUGAGACACGGU